GUGUGUUUGCAUAUGUGUCCGUCCUCUGUGCUCCAGCCGUUAAGAGGCCAGUGUUGAUCAGUGUGUGUCCAGGCCUUUCACAGCCACUGACACACCAACAACACAAUGAUGAUGUCCCUCAUGUUCCUGCUGGCCACCCUGGGGCUCCUUGUUCAGGGUUCAUCAGGAGAUAUUAUCCUGACUCAGACUCCCAAAGCUCAGUCUGUUGUUCCAGGAAACACUGUUUCCAUCAGAUGUAAAUCCAGUUCAGGCAUUGGUGCAUGGCUUCACUGGUACCUUCAGAAAGAAGCAGAAUCUCCAAAGCUUCUUAUUUAUUACUCUACAAGUCGUCAGUCUGGUAUUUCCAGUCGUUUCAGUGGAAGUGGAUCUGGAACUGAUUUUACUCUGACCAUCACUGAUGUUCAGGCUGAAGAUGCAGGAGUUUAUUACUGUCAGCAGGGUUACAGCACCCCAUUCACACAGUGAAAAACCGUCGUACAAAAACCUCCU